rnacentral:lncRNA from 1 species
UGCACACACACACACACACACACACACAGGAUCACUUGUGUGCAAACACAAUAAAUCUAAUCUUAAAAUAGUUUAAUGAGGGUGGGCUAGAGAGAUGGCUCAGCAGUUAAGAGCAUUGACUGCUCUUCCGAAGGUCCUGAGUUCAAAUCCCAGCAACCACAUGGUAGCUCACAACCAUCUGUAAUGAGAUCAGAUGCCCUCAUCUGGUGUGUCUGAAGACAGCUACAGUGUACUUACAUAUAAUAAAUAAAUCAUUUAAAAAUAUAGAAAAAAUAGUUUAAUCGAUGUAAUUACUGCUCAGCCCACUCUAUAAGUCAAAUGCUUAUUUAGAUGUCUUAUUUUCUCCUUCCUACUACCAUUUUAAAGGCGUAUAAUUUAGACAUGCCAGACAUCAUAUUAAACACAAAUUAAGCUUUCAUCUUAAUGUUUAUACACCUGAUUUGUAUUCUAAUUGAUCUCAGCCACUGAUGCAUGCUACUUUAGGUACUUCUACUAAAUAAGUGUAUUAAUUUUCCACACCAGGCCAUCAACACUUAAUAACCAAUAACUCACCUGGAGUCAUCAGUGCUUACGGAUGUGUCGUGUGCAUGUGGCCGUCAUUGAUUUUGCAGCAAAAGAUAAAGUGAUCACUAUGUAGCUUCUGAAUUAGAACAGACUGGGUGUGAAGGGCGUAUGGACGUCCACUGUGUGAGAGGGGGAAGAAGCUCAAGUAGAGUCCUGUCCUCCCCUUACCCUGAUGUCAUGGUGACCACACAGAGCCAGCCUGGGAUGGUGGAGCUAACUCAUUAAGCCUGGCUCUGUCUAAGAUCCACUCAGCCCUAAUAUACACCAGCAGGAUUAGGUAUGAGGCUAUAUCU